rnacentral:rRNA from 1 species
AAUUGGAAUGAGAACAACGUAAAUCCCUUAGCGAGUAUCCAUUAGAGGGCAAGUCUGGUGCCAGUAGUUGUGGUAAUUCCAGCUCUAAUAGCGUAUAUUAAAGUUGUCGCAGUUAAAACGCUCGUAGUUGAACUUUGGGCGGGGGUUGGGGAUGGCGACCUUCGAAAGAGGGAUGCUGUGCCUGCGCCGUCAAAAUGGAGGGGAGAUUCUCGCCGCGGGCGGGUAACUGUUUGCUGAGUAUUCGAGAGCCCCUUGGUUUACUUUGAAUAAAACAGGGCGUUUAAUGCAAGCGGGAUUCGCUGUGAAUGUUUGAGCAUGGAAUAAUGGAACACGACACUGGUGGUGUUUUGUUGGUUUUAACGGCCAGAGUAAUGGUUGAUAGGAACAGUUGGGGGCAUUUGUAUUUCGUUGUCAGAGGUGAAAUUCUUUAAUUAACGAAAGACAAACGACUGCGAAAGCAUCUGCCAGGGAUGUUUUCAUUAAUCAAGAACGAAAGUUGGGGGAUCGAAGAUGAUCAGAUACCGUCGUAGUCUCAACUAUAAACAUGCCGGCCAGGGAUCGCGCGCGGUCGGAACGACGCGGGCGGGACCUUUGGAGAAAUCAGAGCGUUUGGGUUCUGGGGGGAGUAUGGUCGCAAGAUUGAAACUUAAAGGAAUUGACGGAAGGGCACCACCAGGAGUGGAGCCUGCGGCUUAAUUUGACCCAACACGGGGAAACUCACCAGGUCCAGACAGAGGAAGGAUUGACAGAUUGAGAGCUCUUUCUUGAUUCUAUGGGUGGUGGUGCAUGGCCGUUCUUAGUUGGUGGAGUGAUUUGUCUGGUUGAUUCCGUUAACGAACGAGACCUCAGCGUGCUAAAUAGAUACGGUGUGAGGAAAUGCACGCCGGGUAUCUUCUUAGAGGGACUUUUCUCGUCUAGAGAAAGGAAGUUUGAGGCGAUAACAGGUCUGUGAUGCCCUCUGAUGUCCUGGGCCGCACGCGCGCUACACUGGCGGAGGCAGCGAGUAAAAGGGUAACACCGGGCCUGCUUCGAAAGGAGCGGGUAAUCUCUGAAACUCCGCCGUGAUGGGGAUUGACUAUUGUAAUUAUUAGUCAUGAACGAGGAAUUCCUAGUAGGGACAGGUCAUCAGCCUGUGCCGAUUGCGUCCCUGCCCUUUGUACACACCGCCCGUCGCUCCUACCGAUUGGAUGCUCCGGUGAAAUCUUGGGAUUGGGGGUGUCCGCCCGCGAGGGGGGGCGCUUCCGAGAACUUGCUUAAAUCUUAGCAUCU